rnacentral:lncRNA from 1 species
AUGACUAGGGAAGGUAGGCUCUAUGCCACCAUCCCAGAGAUCUCAGACCACAGCACCCUCCUCUCCCUAUACUCGAUGCUCACAUACACCCCGGAAUGGAGCCAAGCUUCACCAGUCUGCUCAGAAAUGACUAACGCCACCUACUGCCCACACCUGUGGAAGGCAUCUAUCUUGAUCGAGCCACGAUUCCACAGCAUCAUGAUCCCCCAG